rnacentral:rRNA from 1 species
ACGCUGGCGGCAGGCCUAACACAUGCAAGUCGAGCGGUAGCACAGAGAGCUUGCUCUCGGGUGACGAGCGGCGGACGGGUGAGUAAUGUCUGGGAAACUGCCUGAUGGAGGGGGAUAACUACUGGAAACGGUAGCUAAUACCGCAUAACGUCUUCGGACCAAAGUGGGGGACCUUCGGGCCUCAUGCCAUCAGAUGUGCCCAGAUGGGAUUAGCUAGCAGGUGAGGUAAUGGCUCACCUGGGCGACGAUCCCUAGCUGGUCUGAGAGGAUGACCAGCCACACUGGAACUGAGACACGGUCCAGACUCCUACGGGAGGCAGCAGUGGGGAAUAUUGCACAAUGGGCGCAAGCCUGAUGCAGCCAUGCCGCGUGUAUGAAGAAGGCCUUCGGGUUGUAAAGUACUUUCAGCGGGGAGGAAGGCGAUAAGGUUAAUAACCUUGUUGAUUGACGUUACCCGCAGAAGAAGCACCGGCUAACUCCGUGCCAGCAGCCGCGGUAAUACGGAGGGUGCAAGCGUUAAUCGGAAUUACUGGGCGUAAAGCGCACGCAGGCGGUCUGUCAAGUCGGAUGUGAAAUCCCCGGGCUCAACCUGGGAACUGCAUUCGAAACUGGCAGGCUAGAGUCUUGUAGAGGGGGGUAGAAUUCCAGGUGUAGCGGUGAAAUGCGUAGAGAUCUGGAGGAAUACCGGUGGCGAAGGCGGCCCCCUGGACAAAGACUGACGCUCAGGUGCGAAAGCGUGGGGAGCAAUC